rnacentral:rRNA from 1 species
UGAGCAACCUGCCCUUGACCCCGGAAUAACAGUUGGAAACAGCUGCUAAUACCGGAUACGACCUCUUCCGACAUCUGGAGAGGUGGAAAGCCCUGGCGGUCAAGGAUGGGCUCGCGGCCUAUCAGCUUGUUGGUGAGGUAACGGCUCACCAAGGCUUCGACGGGUAGCCGGCCCGAGAGGGCGACCGGCCACACUGGGACUGAGAUACGGCCCAGACUCCUACGGGAGGCAGNAGGUAGGGG